GGUCAAGUGAAUAAGUGCAUACGACGGAUGCCUUGGCAUUAGAAGGCGAUGAAGGACGUGAUAAUCUGCGAUAAGCUUCGGUUAGCUGAUAAUAAGCAUUAUUAGCCGGAGAUCUCCGAAUGGGAAAACCCAGUGGUCAUCAGACCAUUAUCCUUAACUGAAUACAUAGGUUAAGGAGGCAAACCUAGGGAACUGAAACAUCUAAGUACCUAGAGGAAAAGAAAUCAACCGAGAUUCCCUUAGUAGCGGCGAGCGAACGGGGAACAGCCCUUAAGCAUAUUUUAAAUUACUAGAAUGUUCUGGAAAGUUCAACGAUACAGGGUGAUAGUCCCGUAUAGGAAAAUUUAAUUUAUGUGAAAUCGAGUAAGGCGGCGCACGUGAAACGCUGUUUGAAUAUGGGGGGACCACCCUCCAAGGCUAAAUACUCUCUAAUGACCGAUAGUGAACAAGUACCGUGAGGGAAAGGCGAAAAGAACCCCGGGAGGGGAGUGAAAUAGAACCUGAAAUCGUAUGCAUACAAGCAGUAGGAGCGGAUUUAUUCCGUGACUGCGUACCUUUUGUAUAAUGGGUCAGCGACUUACUUCUCAGUAGCAAGGUUAACCAUUAGGGGAGCCGUAGGGAAACCGAGUCUUAAAUGGGCGUUUAGUUGCUGGGAGUAGACCCGAAACCGGGUGAUCUAUCCAUGGCCAGGGUGAAGGUUAGGUAAAACUAACUGGAGGCCCGAACCCACUUAUGUUGAAAAAUGAGGGGAUGAGCUGUGGAUAGGGGUGAAAGGCCAAACAAACCCGGAGAUAGCUGGUUCUCUCCGAAAUCUAUUUAGGUAGAGCGUCAUGUAUUACUUCAGGGGGUAGAGCACUGUUAUGGCUAGCGGGUCGUCAAGACUUAGUAAACCAUUGCAAACUCCGAAUACCUGAAAGUAUGAGCAUGGCAGACACACUGCGGGUGCUAACGUCCGUAGUGGAAAGGGAAACAACCCAGACCGUCAGCUAAGGUCCCAAAAUUGUAGUUAAGUGGGAAACGAUGUGAAAAGGCCCAGACAGCCAGGAGGUUGGCUUAGAAGCAGCCAUUCCUUUAAAGAGUGCGUAAUAGCUCACUGGUCGAGUCGGUUUGCGCGGAAGAUUUAACGGGGCUAAAACUACAUACCGAAGCUACGGAUCAGAAGGCAGAACAAAAUAAAUCAAAGUGGUAUAAUUUAUUAUUUGUAAUAAUUUGGUAAAUUAAAAUGACUUUAGAUAUGUUAGUUGAUAAAUUAAAUAAUAUGUAUGAAAAUUCAAACAAAGGGGAGUCUACUACGAUGAUUCAUUUGUUUGGAAUUAGAUAUGCUAAAUUUAUUGGUCAUAAUAAUAUCGCUACAGCAACUGAAAUAAUAAAUGCUAGCAAUUUAAGUAAAUCUUAUUUUGCAGAAAUAAAUAAGGGCGUUAAAUUAUCAAAGUAUGUUGAAGAAAAAUAGUUUAUUUUGUUCUGUCUUCUGAUGGUAGGAGAGCGUUCUGUAAGCCGUUGAAGGUGAACUGUGAGGUUUGCUGGAGGUAUCAGAAGUGCGAAUGCUGACAUGAGUAACGAUAAAGGGGGUGAAAAACCCCCUCGCCAGAAGUCCAAGGUUUCCUACGCAACGUUAAUCGGCGUAGGGUUAGUCGGCCCCUAAGGCGAGGCAGAAAUGCGUAGUCGAUGGGAAACAGGUUAAUAUUCCUGUACUUCAUAUAACUGCGAUGGGAAGACGGAGAAGGUUAGCGCAGCUUGGCGAUGGUUGUCCAAGUUCAAGCGUGUAGAAAUGAGUUUUAGGAAAAUCCGGAACUCUCUAUUUCAAGGCGUGAUAACGAUCCCUCUUUUGGGAGAAGUGCGUGAUACCAUGCUUCCAGGAAAAUCCUCUAAGCUUCAGGUUAUAUGAAACCGUACCCCAAACCGACACAGGUGGACGAGAUGAGAAUUCUAAGGCGCUUGAGAGAACUCGGGUGAAGGAACUAGGCAAAAUGACACCGUAACUUCGGGAGAAGGUGUGCUCUUGCCGGUGAUUUUACUUGCUAAAUGAGCUGGUAAGAGUUGAAGAUACCAGGUGGCUCCGACUGUUUAUUAAAAACACAGCACUCUGCAAACACGUAAGUGGACGUAUAGGGUGUGACGCCUGCCCGGUGCUUGAAGGUUAAUUGAUGAGGUUAGGAUUCGUCCGAAGCUUUUGAUCGAAGCCCAAGUAAACGGCGGCCGUAACUAUAACGGUCCUAAGGUAGCGAAAUUCCUUGUCGGGUAAGUUCCGACCUGCACGAAUGGCGUAACGAGGGCCACACUGUCUCCACCCGAGACUCAGUGAAAUUGAAAUUGCUGUUAAGAUGCAGUAUACCCGCGGCCAGACGGAAAGACCCCGUGCACCUUUACUACAGCUUUGCAUUGAACUCUGAUCCUACUUGUGUAGGAUAGGUGGGAGGCUUUGAAGCUUGAACGCUAGUUUGAGUGGAGCCACCCUUGAAAUACCACCCUGGUAUGGUUGGGGUUCUAACCUAGGUCCGUUAUCCGGAUUGGGGACAAUGCAUGGUGGGUAGUUUGACUGGGGCGGUCUCCUCCCAAAGAGUAACGGAGGAGCGCAAAGGUACCCUCAGCACGGUCGGACAUCGUGCAAUGAGCGCAAAGGUAAAAGGGUGCUUGACUGCGAGACUGACACGUCGAGCAGGUAGGAAACUAGGUCUUAGUGAUCCGGUGGUUCUGAGUGGAAGGACCAUCGCUCAACGGAUAAAAGGUACGCCGGGGAUAACAGGCUGAUACCGCCCAAGAGUUCACAUCGACGGCGGUGUUUGGCACCUCGAUGUCGGCUCAUCACAUCCUGGGGCUGAAGCAGGUCCCAAGGGUAUGGCUGUUCGCCAUUUAAAGUGGUACGCGAGCUGGGUUUAGAACGUCGUGAGACAGUUCGGUCCCUAUCUACCGUGGGCGUUGGAGACUUGAGGGAAGCUGUUCUUAGUACGAGAGGACCGGAAUGGACACACCUCUGGUGUUUCGGUUGUGACGCCAGUCGCAUUGCCGAGUAGCUAUGUGUGGAAAGGAUAACCGCUGAAAGCAUCUAAGCGGGAAGCCCCUCCCAAGAUUAGGUCUCCCUGAUAGUUUAACUAUCCUAAAGAUCCCUUGAAGACUACGAGGUUGAUAGGCAGGGUGUGGAAGCGCAGUGAUGUGUGAAGCUAACCUGUACUAAUUGAUCGUGAGGCUUGACCAU
rnacentral:rRNA from 1 species